rnacentral:lncRNA from 1 species
GCAAUGUCAUGUGGGUGGAUAUAAUGCACGACCUGCUUACACAAUAGAAGCUAUAUUGCUGCUAGGCUGCGUUGCAAAACUUAACAAUAUUUUCUUAUAUACAAUAAUAUAUAGACAUAUAGGGCCUAAUUUUUAGGCUCAAUUGUCGGGCCUAAAGCCUUAGCCUUGGUGGCUUUAGGGUUGGGCCAGCCCUGGCAACAACAUUACAUCUUAAGCUGUUUGGCUACAUGGAGAGAAGCAAAUGGUG